AUCUCAAUUUAAAUGAUUUGGCUUGGCUGAGAACCAAAUUCCUGUGAAAAAUUACAUGGGGUGAUUGAGAAGGAGAAAUUUCACCAUACAACAAGCUUUGCGUCACAAGUUGCAAGAUUCUCCAUCUUAACUCAGACAAUAGUACUAUUAAUGCUACUGCAACAGACAUAGGAAUGUGCACUCGCAUAAGCUAUGUUAAACUUUUGCAUGCAGAAUGUAACUUCUUGCUCGAGUGGAACAAAAUAGAACCAUAACACCAAGAUAGAAACUAACAAAAGCACUUAGGCAGAACACCCAAACAGAAAUCGGACCUUCCAUUUCUUCAGAUGACUUGCCGGGAACUGCUGGAAGGCUUGCUGGGCCGCAGUCUCCACCAGAGGACUCCAAGCACAAAUCUGGAUUACCAGCAAAUGCUCCUGGAAACCUGCGAUAGCCUUCCUUCUUGGGAACAAAUCCAGAAAAACUGUUAUAUGAUAAGUUCAAGAGUGUAAGAUCUUCAAGGCUGGAGAUGUUCCCUGGGAUAUGACCUGAUAGAGAAUUAUGUGACAAAUCCAAUGCCCUCAAACUACACAUCUUCUCCAAAUCUGGAACCUCACCAUCGAGAAAAUUGUACGAUAAGUUAAGGUACUCCAAACCUUGCAGUCCAAAUAGGCCAUCUGGAAUCUCCCCGUGCAAUAAAUUAUCAGACAAAUCAAUCCCUACAGCUGAAGAUAGAUGGUAGCUGAAGCUUAAUUCAUUGCCACCAAUGACCAACACUGAUAUUUUGAUCUCCACAUUUCGCAUCACAUCAAAAGGCUCCAUGGCUAAUCUUUGAACAAUGUCUCCAUUGUUGAAAUUCAAGCUAAUGUUGAAGUUACCAUCUGGUAUGAAACCAGAGAAUUUGUUGCCAGAGAAAUUCAUCGUUUGGAUUGCUUCAAAUGAGAAUAGCCAACUAGGUAGGCUUCCACUGAAUUUGUUCCGAGCCAGGGAGAGAUACUUGAGAUUUGACCAUUUAGUUAUUGCAUCGUUCAGAUUCCCAGAGAGAUUGUUGGAACUGAAAUCUACUAUCUCGAGUGAUUUACAGCCUGCCAAAGUCAGAGGGAUCUCACCAGAAAUCUUGUUGUUACUUAUAUCCAAUAUCUUCAAGCUAUCCAAAGCAUCAAGUUCUGGUUGAAUUUCACCAGAAAGAUUAUUGUUAUUGAGUACCAAUGCAAGUAGCUGAAAGCAACCAACAAUAUUUAAAGGAAUCGAACCCGACAAUGAGUUGUGAGAAAGAUCUAUCACUUGAAGAUAAGUCAAAUUUCCAAUCCUUGCUGGGAUUUCCCCACUAAGAAAAUUGUGAGAAAGAAACAAUGCCUGCAGACUUUUCAGCUCUGUUAUCUUCAAUGGGAUACCACCUGAGAAGCGAUUGUGAGAUAGGUCAAGGAGAACCAACCCUGAUUUAUCUGUAGUCUCUGCAAUCUUGCUUGGAAAUGGACCAGAUAAGUCAUUGAAACUCAAGUCCAACACAAGAAGCUCCUCUGAAAAAACAAGUCUUGGAGAUAUUGCAUAUUCCAGGUGAUUAAAUGACAGAUUUAAAUGUGUCAAUUUUUUUAGAGAAGAAAUGCAUGUCGGAAUGCCCCCCACAAUAGAAUUAUUAGAUAAAUUCAAAAAACUCAGGGAAUGAGCAGAAGCAGAAAAACAAGGCAGAGUACCUGAAAACGAAUUAGACCCAAGAUUGAGAAAAACUAAUGGUUGAUAGAAUUCAUGAAGAUCACCUGAUAAAUUAUUGUUUCCAAGAUCCAAAUACUUCAAAGAACUCAAAUAAAACAAGCUUUCAGGCAUUUCCCCUCGAAACGAAUUGAAGCUCAUGUCAAGUUUUUCUAAAUUUAAUGAAAAAUUUCCAACCCAACCAGGAAGAAGUCCUCCCAAAUCAUGAUUCUCAUUCAAAACAAGUUCUCUUAGCUGCCUAAGCCUCAUAAGGGUGUGUGGAAUAAGACCAACAAAUCUAUUGUGACUAAGAUCAAGGCUUUUGAGAUUGUGCAACCAACCUAAGCAUGAUGGGAUUUGGCCAGUGAAGCUGUUUUCUGACAAAACCAAGGACUCAAGAGACACAACUUUGCACAAAUUAGGGUGGAUAUGACCUGACAAAUUCAUGUUAGUCAAGUUUAUGGAAAUGACAUUGCCGGUCUGAUUCUGGCAGGCAAUUCCAGUCCAGUUUGUGCAGUUAGACCCAAUCCAGGUCGCCAAGUAAUGGUUUGGGUCUUGAAUCCAUGACCCGAAUAGUGCAAGUGAGGCCUUGUCUUCUGGAUUAAGAUCAACGGAAUGAGAUUGAUAUGAACACAGAAGUACCAAAACAAAUAGUGGCAGAGAAUGUAAUUUAAGAGCCUUAAAGUGUUCUAUGGUUGGAACCGAUUUCAGUUCCAUUUGUGACUCAGGCAAACAAGCAAAACCAAAGCUUCAAAAUUUUUAUAC
rnacentral:misc_RNA from 1 species